rnacentral:snRNA from 2 species
ACUAGCUACUGCUAAUUCCCGGUCAAAUCGGAAAAAAAAAACACUGACAAGAUUAGCAUCACCCCUGCGCAAGGAUGGCGCGCACAGAAAAAUAUAAAGACUUAAAUUUU